rnacentral:rRNA from 1 species
UACGGAGGGGACUAGCGUUGUUCGGAAUUACUGGGCGUAAAGCGCACGUAGGCGGAUUUGUAAGUCAGGGGUGAAAUCCCGGGGGCUCAACCUCGGAACUGCCUUUGAUACUGCAAAUCUCGAGUCCGGAAGAGGUGAGUGGAAUUCCUAGUGUAGAGGUGAAAUUCGUAGAUAUUAGGAAGAACACCAGUGGCGAAGGCGGCUCACUGGUCCGGUACUGACGCUGAGGUGCGAAAGCGUGGGGAG